CUCCUAAGUGUACAUGCAACCCUAAAUACCUUGGAUCUAUGUUUUCUCUAUUAUACAUACAAAUAUGAACAUCCAAGGUAUUAUCCUAAUCUAGCAUACAAAACAAUGAAUAUAACAAGAUAGAAUACAUACCUCUUUCAUGUAGAAAGUCUUCAUGAAGCUUGAGUGCCUAGUGCCUCAAGUGUAACACCUCAAAUGGUUCACACAACACCAAAUACACUUGGAAUAACUUGAGAGAAACUUGAACACUCCAUGAAAUCGUUUAGCCCUCACACACACAUAGUGCACAAUUUCUUGAGCCAUGGGAUUCUUUUAUAUGGUGGCUAUUAGGGUUACACCAUGUAACUCAUGACUUUACCCAUUCCUUAUGCUCCAUGGAUUUUAACCUCCAUGGAGUAUCCAUGGGUCACCCCAUGGACUUAGUCCAACAUAAGGAAUCUUGGAUCACAAGCCCACAUAUAUAAGAAUGAAUGAUUUACACAAUCAACCCAUAUAUUUAAUUAGUCUCCUUUUGAUCACUUAAUUAAUUCCAAAUUAAUUCUUGAUCAAUACUAAUUAAAUAACCUUAUUAAUAUAUUAGAACUUAUAAUAUAUUAACAAACCUUAAGUGUUAUUUCUCUCAUUUUAGUCUAUCCAAAUGCAUGAUGCCAUGCAACCCAAAUGGACCAUGUCGGGUCGGGUCAAGUCUUACCAAUUAUAGUUAUGGACUUAGACAUUAAUCCAACAGUCUCCCACUUGGAUAAGUCUAAAACUAUUAUUGCGUAUGACUUCAGGAACCAACUGGCAAUCGUAGCUCUCAAAAGCUUCUGUCGAACUCUGACCUUGUAGAUGAACUCUGACCUUUGUCAAUGACUUGUCCAUUAGAUAAGGGAUCAUAUAUUCCUCCAUUCUAGAUAUCAUAUGGACUGAGACAUGGAUUAUAAUCAUUCUCUCUGUCCAUUUGUUGUUUCCCGAUUUCCGAUUUAUGACGACUGACUAAUUGAACAAAUCAAAUCAGUCCUGGCCCGGCCGAGCACUUCCAUUUGUCAUCAUCAAAUCAUCGAGGGGCCCACAGAUAUCGCUUUUAUCCCGAAGGUAAAAGGAAUGGAUAAACUUCGACUCAUAUGGCUUGUUCUACUACUUGUUGAAUCAUACACAAAGGCACGUUUUAUAGCACCGAGUUACCGAAUGCGUUUUCGUGCAAUCAAUGUACAACCAACUCAUAGUAACAACUCAUAUCUCUAGGUUUGAAGAAUAUAAGAUAUUAUCGUCUCAUGAUCACUCGUGAUAAAAUCCAUGAAGUGAUUCCAAUGAGCGCGGGUUGAAUCCAAUACUCAGAACUUAUGAGCACUCAUGAGUGUUGUAGCCCUUUGUCCAACACCUUAGACCUCUACAAGCCAACCCAUGACAGUCUUAAUUCAUAUCUACUUCCAACAUAUGACCGACUGUGGAUGGUUUGAAUAACUUAGUCAUUCCGGAAGAAUAACCUAGUUUAUUCGGGAAGUCAAAACAUGCAAAGUGAAACACAAUAAUAAUUGAAUCCAAUAUGGUAUCAAAACCUAUGAACAUAAAUAAAACACCUUUUAUUUAUCACCAUAUGAUUACACAUUAUUCAUUGUAUACUGUUUCAGCUAUCAACUUUAUUCUUGAAUUUAAAACAAUAGUUGUCCCAUGCUCCAAGCAUGUACACUAUGUUUUCUUAAACACUAGUCAUGCCACACACCAAGUAUGCAUACUAUGUUUGUCUAUGAUCUUUACUUUGUGAACUAGAUCAAUUGAACAUAACUUCAAUGAUUCUCUUUUCACACUCCCAAAUCCUUACUGCAAAUGCAAGAAUUCCAAAUUCAUGCCAUUUACUGAAAUCUGUUAGAUUCUAAACUUAUAUGCAUUGAUCCUCUUGUAAUGAUUAUGCACAAAGUCAGAAAGACUUGACAACAAUCAUUACAGAGUAUUCCAAAGGAGAUCAGCUCCUUGGAAACAUCCUUCUUGCAUUAAGUUUCCUAAUCUUAAACAGAUUGAAAAUUCUAACUUUGAAACAUUUCCAGAUUCCAUUUUGACUAUCACUUCUGAACAAGAGUUGCCUCCUUACAGAUUAUGUCAAUAUGGUCCUUCCAGAAUUAUCACUAUACUUCCAACUGUCCUUGAGCAACCAAUCUUUGGUAAACCUUAGAUUGUCCUCGACAAUUGUUUAAUCCUUUUAGUCAUAUCCAGUUCUAAACCUUUUCCCUUCUUAAUGCCCCAGGCAUUUGGAAAAUUUUAGAACGGAUGAAUAUAGCACAUGUAAUCGAUCCUAUAUCCGAAGCAUAUGGGACACGAUUCAUGAUGUCUCACAUAAAGACUAAACCAGUCUUUUGCUAUAACAUUUCCAUUUCAAUUUGCCAAGUUCUCAUAAUUCAGAUUAUGAAAAGGGAUGCCGUAAUCAUAAUCGAAUUUUAGAACGCAAAUAAUGGACCCAUAUACAGAAUUUCCUUAUGUUGAGCCAUUCCAACAUGAAAUUCAUAUAUAUCCUUGACUAAAUGAUUAAAACCUCACGAUCUAAGCUUAUAGAUUUGAGAUGAAGCAUAAUUUCCUCUCCCUUAAUUAUAGCAAAACAACUUUUUCCCAAUUGAAACUUUUGUUUUCUAUAAUUAACAUUGCUAACUUGCAAUACUUAUCAUAAUUAUCAUGCUCCCACUAACAUGAUGAUUAUUAGCAUAACACUUAUGCUCCCACUAGCUUUGACAUGUACUCAGAAAUCAGCUGGACUUCUAGAAAUCAAUACUUCAUUGACUUUCUUACCAAAGUUCAGAUUUCUGAUACUAGAUUGUUUUGAUAAAACUUUAUCAAAAUCAUACACCUUCCCUUAGAUAGCACACUUGUGUAUCUAAACAAUUAUGAAGAGGGAUGCCGUAAUCAUAAUGUUUAGACCUUUUUGCCACUUCUCACAAGUCCAAAUUAGUGUGCCGGUUAACCACACGCGCUCCACUAACGACUUUGAGAAUGCAAAUAUCACAAUUGCUAUCUAGCUAAAAUCUACUUAGUGAAAGUGUUUCCUCACCAUCAUUUUCAUGAAUCGGAGAGAAACCUUAUGACACUUAGAUUUAAUGGUGUAUGUGUUCUUAUCCAUGUGAAUUGUCAAAAUCAUAGUCACAAGACAAGGAUAAUGACAAAUCCAAACUCAUAUGGACUGAACUCAAUCUUAAUUUCUUGCCACCUGGCAGCUCAAGGGCCUACCAUUGCUUCCAAGUUGUUGUGCAACAAAUUGAGAACUCUAAGAACUCAUAUGCAAAGCCAACUUUAACUGGAAUGGGCACAGAAUAUGUCAACACGAUAGGUUAUGAACCUCAAGUUGUGUGCUAGUGAAGAACUUUAGGUUUUAUUCUUGAUUAGUUCUUGAGACUUUCAAGACCUUUAAGACUCCCACUGUCCUCUUGACCUAUAAGACUCCCUUGUCAAACAUCCAAGAGAUAGUGCGGAUUCUAAUCAAGACAAACACUUCACACAAUUGGCCUAAGUUGGUCUUUGUUUUAUCCAAAACAUCACAACUUACCAAUUUCAAAUGUACAAGAGUAGAAAACUUUUACUCUUACAUUUGACAAGUGUUUUAAACCUUCUUUAAGACAUGUCACUCAAGUUACAAUCUUGGAGUAUGACUCUAAGACUUGUAUUGGAACGAAGUAUGACUCAUCUUCUUGAUUUAACCAUUUCAACAAUUCAAGUUCCUCUUCUUAGUCAUAAGAAUGCACUAAGAUUUCCUUAGAGAACUAAUUUUGAUAUGGUUUCUUAAUCAUUAAGAUGAUCACAAAACUGAUACUAAAGUACUCUCCCAUCUUUUCAGAUUUGAGAAACUUUUAUCCUUCUGCCUUAUUUGAUUCUUCUUAUUCGCCCUGCCAUACAUUGGAACCUUUUCCAAUGUCUCAGAGUUACACUUAAGCUUGUAAGUAUAAUCAUAUUUACUGAGCUUUAGUAAACUAUGACGAAUAGUCUUAUCAAUCUUUUGUGGUGGACUUAAUCAGUGCACAAGAAUGUGUACUCGAUCCCUUAGUCCUUUACUUGACUCACACAUCCAUGUGGCCGAGUAAUUAGUCUUAAUUUUCCAAAACUUGAAAGUUCUCAUUCAUCAUGCUAUACAACUUGCAUGAUUCCAAGUUCCGGUCCAAUUGAAACUUGGGUGAUGAGAAUCUUUCCUUAUUUGGUAAAUCUAGACAUUACCACAAAUGAAAGAAUCAAUUUCAUAUUUCCACUCUUGCUCUUAAUGGAAUCAUAUAAGCAACAAUUUUUCCUCAAAUGCCAUUGUAAGGAUAUUUUAAAAUAAAUAAAAUCAAAAAUUUUCUUUUAUUUUAAAACUUUGCGGAAAAACUUAUCCUUACAAUCCAUAUGAAAACUUGUUGUUAUCUAUUCCUAAGCAAUAUCUCAUAACUCCUAAGAAGUUGCUCAAGAAUCCGAUCUUCAAACUAUGCGAUAGAAAUCCAUCUACGCCAUCAGAUUCAGCAUAUUCUUUCUUUAAGUUUCUUCACUUUUCUUUGAUUCUUAAAACAUCACCAUGUGACCCAGUCACAUCAUGUAUCAGGAAUCUCAGAAUAGAAACUUAACAGAGUUAGAUAGUGGACUUUACCUGAAGUAGAGUCAAACUUAUUGACUUUAACAUCCUUAGGUAAAUUUGGCAGCUUCGCAACCAAUGCCCCUUCCUUUGGCAAUAUAAACAUAUGGACCCUUUGAUAAUGGUACACGAGACUAUCACAGACUUAGCUUUUCUCUUUACCAUUUGGUCAACCGAGUUGACUAUGGCCGAUCCCUUUCCAUUGGGAAGAGAAUGCUUUACUGGAUAUCCAAUGUCAUCAUUGUCAAUGUCCAUAAAGUUUUAGGAAGUUGAUCUUAGCAAAUAGAUAAGAUCAUUAAGGGUCUUGUCAUAGUCUGUUUCAUAGGUGUCCCAAAGGAACUCACUAUGUGACUUAGAAAGUGAUUGAACCACCAACUUUCUCAAGACUUUGACACCCAACUCUCCCGGCUUGUCAAUAUGUGACUACAUCUCCAAGAUGUGAUCACACCUAGACCUUGCCUUGCCAAUAGGGCUUGAGUGACCUUAAACUUUUCAAGAACUUGUGGGUUAGGGAGAAUAAUUGGAGGAGGAGAAAGAAGUAUGAUAUCCAUGGGACAUCAUCUUCAUUAGGAAACCUUGUUUCAAGAGAUUUGGGAAGAUCAUAGGUGUCUAAACCAGACAUCUUUUGGGAGAUAUUCAAGAUAGUUGAUUUAAAGUCCUUAAUAUGACACCCAAUAUGAAAUAUUAAGGCUAGGACCCAACAAACUAUUUUAUAACUUAGAAGAGGUAUGCCGUAAUCCAAGCUAUAAAAUAUUUGAAGGUAGGUGAAUGACGAUUCACCAAUUUCCACCAAGAUAAACGAAAUGUAUUAUUAGGUUUUAAUUGGUUUUGAAACUCCUAGAUCUUUGAGAUUCAUUGAACUGUUCAAAGGCAUGUUUCAAUCUCGAGUGUGCCCUUCAGGUUUUGUGACUGGGAUGCCGAGGAUCACAAAACAAGGUGUGAAGUAACCAUGCAAAUCACUUGGUACCCUUAAUAAAUUACCCCUCAAUCGAUGUGCCGGUUAACCACACACGCUCCAUCGAUACUAUGAUAAAUAUUAAGUCACCCUUUACCUACCUUGUUAAGUCCAAGUUAGUGUGCCGGUUAACCACACACGCUCCACUAACGACUUAGACAAAGUGUAAAGUGUAAUUUCAUGGGUUAGCACCUUAUUCACAUUUUUCCUAAGUAACUAAGAUUGGGUAUUAUUAAGAGUUUAGUUACUUAGUAUUAUCAUUAAUACUUUUAAUGAAGGGAGAAUUCUAGUCCUGUCAAACCCGUUCGGCUAACGACCCUCCACCAGUCAAGCAAGCGGUGGGUGAGAGUGGACACCCAUUAAGUUGCCAUUUUAUAGGCAACAACCUUAUACCCACCUUAUAGACCGGCUUCGUGAAUGAGGCGUACUAGCGGUAAGACUGACUUUACUCUUAUACAUAUAUAUAUUAUUAACUUAUAAUAUUAUAAAGUAUAAGGGUUGAAUUUUAACUUUUAAAAUUCUAAGGGCUAACUUGGAAUUAAAGUAUUCAUAAGUGAAAACUUUACAAAUUCCAAAACUUGAGGGCAAGUUUUGAAACUAUUCAAAACUAAUUAAUUCCAUAACUUAUGUGUUUAAAGUAGUUUUAAUCCAAAAACUCUUCAAGUUCCAUAACUUGAGGACAAGUUAUGGAAGACUUUAAACUAAUAAAAGAAUUAACUUUUCUUUAUUUUAUAACUUAUGGAAUUAAUUAAGGUUACACUUUUUUUUUUUUUAUUUUAUUUUAUUAAAUGAAGAGACUCUUGGUCCUCCAUAACUUGAGGACAAGUUAUGGAGUCAUAAAACCAUUUAAUUAGAACUAGACUCUUCAUUUUUGUAACCUUUGCCAAUUUUUAUGAGUUUUAUGAUUCUUAAAUGUGACUUUUCAUAUAACUUGAGGACAAGUUACAAAAACACAUUUUAGAAUCAAUUCUUAGAUUAAUUUGGAUUAAAACCAACUAUCACAUAAUUUUAUUCAUUAAUCUAAAUUCACUCAUAAAACAAGGUAACACAAAAAACUUUUGGUGAUCCAUAACUUAUUCUUAAGUUAUGGAAUCCUUUAAAACAUUAACACCAAAUUUUGUAACUCCAAAAAAACUUUGAAUCAAUUUUUUUUUUAAAACCUUUUCAUAUCCAUAACUUAUGGAGGUUUCAAAAAAUAAAACUCUUUAGAUCAAACUUUUAAAACUAAUAAAAUAAUCAUAUUAUUUUAUCUUUUAUUAAAUUUGACCUAAUUCAACUCAUAAAGCAAAUUAUUCAAAUUUUACAAAUAAUUAGUUUUUCACAAGAACAAGUAAUUAUCUUAAAAUUUGACAAACUUCAUGUUUUUUUUUUUUUUUUUUUUCAACUUUGAAAAUAAAAUAUUUGCAUCAAUAUAACAGAAAACAACCCGUGGCUCUGAUACCACUGUUGGGUUUUGAGCAUUCUAACACUCCUAAGUGUACAUGCAACCCUAAAUACCUUGGAUCUAUGUUUUCUCUAUUAUACAUACAAAUAUGAACAUCCAAGGUAUUAUCCUAAUCUAGCAUACAAAACAAUGAAUAUAACAAGAUAGAAUACAUACCUCUUUGAUGUAGAAAGUCUUCAUGAAGCUUGAGUGCCUAGUGCCUCAAGUGUGACACCUCAAAUGGUUCACACAACACCAAAUACACUUGGAAUAACUUGAGAGAAACUUGAACACUCCAUGAAAUCGUUUAGCCCUCACACACACAUAGUGCAUGAUUUCUUGAGCCAUGGGAUUCUUUUAUAUGGUGGCUAUUAGGGUUACACCAUGUAACUCAUGACUUUACCCAUUCCUUAUGCUCCAUGGAUUUUAACCUCCAUGGAGUAUCCAUGGGUCACCCC
rnacentral:lncRNA from 1 species